rnacentral:rRNA from 1 species
CCUACGGGAGGCAGCAGUGGGGAAUCUUUCACAAUGGGGGAAACCCUGAUGCAGCGACGCCGCGUGAGUGAGGAAGUAUUUCGGUAUGUAAAGCUCUAUCAGCAGGGAAGAAAAUGACGGUACCUGAUUAAGAAGCCUCGGCUAACUACGUGCCAGCAGCCGCGGUCAUACGUAGGGGGCAAGCGUUAUCCGGAUUUACUGGGUGUAAAGGGAGCGUAGACGGCUAGUAAAGUCAGAAGUGAAAGCCCAGGGCCAAACCUUGGGACUGUUUUUGAAACUGAGUAGCUAGAGUGCAGUAGAGGUAAGCGGAAUUCCUAGUGUAGCGGUGAAAUGCGUAGAUAUUAGGAGGAACACCAGUGGCGAAGGCGGCUUACUGGACUGUAACUGACGUUGAGGCUCGAAAGCGUAGGGAGCAAACAGGAUUAGAUACCCCUGUAGUC